ACCGGGGAGCUGACGCAAGUCGGCUGAGAUAGGGCGUGAUGCCGCCCUGACCCAUCGACCUGAUCCGGAUAAUGCCGGCGUAGGAAAGUGCGC
rnacentral:ncRNA from 1 species